GGGGCGCGACCAGCGACAGGUUCCCCGAGAGGGGAUCAAAAGGGAAUGGGGUGCAAAGCCCCGGCUGCCCCUGCAACUGUAAGCGGAGAGCCAUCGGGCCACAUGCCAUUGGGACGAAAGUCCUGAGAAGGCGGCCCGGACCGGCACCGACCCGCGAGCCAGGAGACCUGCCCGUCGCCGUCGUCUUUC
rnacentral:ncRNA from 2 species